CAUCCCGCAGCCUUAUUUCCUGAAAAUUAACAAUUUUCACCCAGAUUUGGCUUUGAGCAGUUUAAGUUACAUCUUUAUUUUGCUGGACUGUCCAGUAGAGCCUGUGAGGUGUUUUAUUAAAAAUCCCAGAUAUUUCUCGCAGAGGUUAUCCUGUUUGUCAAGGCGGCUUAUUGACUUUGGGGACUCAUCACUGGGGAAAAAAAGGUGGAGGAGAAGGAUGAUGAGUAUAUAAAUAAUGGCAGCUUCAACCCCUGCAAAGGAGAAAAGCGGUGAAAAAGCAAAGAGUUAAGCAUAAAAUAUAUAAUCAAUAUAUCAUAUAUAAACAUAUAAUAAUAAUGUAUCUCCUAAUUCUCUGGGCAGCUAAACUUUCCCUUACAGCCCAGCCUGGGGAAUAUGCUUUAAUCUCAUUUAUUGGAUUGCUUCGUCCGAGGACGGAUCUUGCUGAAGUGAUCAGGCUCAUGAUGGCGUAUUAAGGGCGACACCUUUUGUGAAGAAAAAGAGAAAUAAAUGCUAAAAGGAGGUUUCUGGCUGACACAAAAGGAAGCGGCGGCAGGGGCUGCCCUCACGGCCGCCUCAGGCGCUGCCCCCCCGCCUCGCUUCACAAAAUGGCCGCCCGGCGGGCCCGCAGUGUGAGGCGACAAAAUGGCGGCGAGCGGGCAGCGAGGGGAAGGAUGGGCGAGGGGCGGCUGCGGGGCCGGGGUGGUGGGCGCGGGCUGAGGCCGUGCCAGGAGCACGGCGGAGGGGCUCUGAUCUUGCGCGAAUUCCCUCCGGGCAGGCAGCGAAAGCGCUGCGGGGGUCGGAGCCGCCAUCUCCCGCUUUCCUCACGGCAUGGAAAAUACCCAAACGUGCUUGGGGGAAAAAAAACAAACCAAGGAGAAAUCCCCUAACACCCGAGGACUGAUUUAUCUUCGGAGCCGGAGUGGUGUGGGAAGAAGCCAUCGCCGCUUGCCUGCUCCCCACGACAGCUCGCCCGCCAUUCGCUUAAUUAAAAUCAUAUAUUGGUGUGAUCAGACGUGGUAAUACCAUAAAAAACCAAAAUCCCGUAACAUCCACACGCUCGUUGUUGGAGGCUGCAGCCAAGGUACCACAUACGCUUUUUUUUUCUUUUUUUUUUUUAAAUAUUUUUUUAAUGUUGCCUUACCUUUUUGUCUGCAUCACAGUGUUGUCACAGGCUACAACGUUGCCCCUUCCUUGUUAAAAGCUACAUGCCUAAAAUACUGCUUUUUUCCCCAUGGAAUUUCAGAUUUAGGCCCAUGUAGAUGCUCUAUUAUUUCUACAGAUAUAGAAAUAUUUCUAUAUAUUUACUACAUACAUAUAUAAAUAUUCUGUAUGUUGACUACAUAUUUAUAUGUAUAUCUCCUUUUUACGGGAACUGCUUAAAAUAUAAGAUAAACCCACACACCUAAAAACUAUGAUUUAAUUAUAUAUAAUCACUAUCAUUUGGCCCGUAUAUAUUUUUGAUUUUAUAUAUAUAUAUUACCUUUGUUUUCCUCCAUUGGCUUUCUACUACAAUGUAUCCUAAAAGCAGGAGAAAAAAAUGCCAUAAAAAAGUAAAAAUUAAAAAAGAAAAAGAACAAAAAACAACCCAUCUCUUUUUUUUACAGUCCAUGGCGGAAGUUUGUGCCUGAAUAUUUUAUUUGUUCCACAAAGAGGUAGAUUUUC
rnacentral:lncRNA from 1 species